AAUCAUUGCCUUGGAAGCUUCAUCAUGAUACGACAUUGCAUUUCUGAAGAGGGAAGAAGAAAUCAACAUGCAAAUUCAAUUCCAUGGUUUUGGACGUCCCAUUGAGAACACGAUUCAUGUGCGCCGGCAUAAUGCUCUGACCGAGAAAGAAUUGAAGUUUCCACUUGGAAGAAAGAUUCACAUCAAAUUGACUGGUCAAGGAAAUGGGACACUGACUUUGGUCGAAUGGAUCACAGAAAGUCUGGCAACAAAAAAGCUGCAAUGGUUACCUCGUCACUGCUUCCAACUCCUCCUCUUUCUCAGCUGGUGCCCGAUCACUGGCAGCGACAGCGUACCCUCAUGAUGCCAAGGUUGGAGACUAUCAAGAAUCAUGACGACACCGGCCCUUCUCUGUACUGCAGGACUGCCCCAGAGUGCUCCAGGCAGCAGAAACAACAUUGAACUACUCCAGUGGUCUGCACCAUUACAUUUCCUGUGGUACUUUAUGCAGCCCCUCUGAGUGUGUAAUACACACUCCCAUAUGGACCACGUCAUCAAACAAAGGCUCUUGUCACCUCCUCAUUACUUCAAGUUGUUCAAAUGAGGAUGGCAGGGCAGAAUAUUGAAGAAUUAUUACAAAGUCUUCUGUUCAGUAUCCUGCUGCUCUCUGACAAGGAAAACUGAAAUGUACUUGAUUUUCAUGUAAUUUUGAUUCCCAUUACAGGUCCUUAUGGGAACAGGAAAAAUGACAAGCUGGAAAAUUUUGCAAGUAAUCUUUGGGCCAGCCUGGAAUCUUCCCAUCCUCUGGCCAUGACCUUGUGACCCUGCUUGGAGGUUGUACUUACAGUUUCAGAAGUGAUCAAUUCCAGUGAGGAUGUCUGUACUAAGGUGAAAGCUCACGCACAGUUCUUCACGACGGGAAAAAUGGCUCCAUUCAGACUCUGGAGAUUCAGGUAUCCCACUGAGAAUCGUUGUCUCCUUCAUCAUUCACCUUAUUCCAGUCACCUGUCCUGCUCUGUGUGAUUUCUGUCCAUUCUCUCAGUCAUGCUUGUCUGAGGGGAUAGCCACUACUGUAGCCCUGUUGUUGACUUGUGCAGUAUCCUCACAGUCAGGGAAUGCUUCCCCAUUCCUGAGAGAUUUCAGCUGGCUUAAACAGCUCUGAAAACCACGAAACACUUUUACAAGAGUCAGCGGAAAUCCACUUGCAUCUAACCUGUAAGUAGUUGGUGAUAUCUCUAUCCUCACUGCACUGGAUUAAGAGAGGAUUGUAACUGGAAUACUGAGGUCAAAACAUAUACCAUUAGCAUCCAAGCAGCAUUACGCAUACUUCCAUCAGAAUGUGAAUCAGAUGACAGGGAUUAUACCUAGCACUUGGAGAACUGACAGAAACCCCAGGUUACCGUGUCAGGAAAGUUCCAGUGAAUGAAGUGCCAACCGAGCACUUACCAUUCGGGGGCAGUCUGUGGCUAAAACCCCACUCACUGAGAGAUGCUGGCCAAACAGAGACUAGUGUCUCGCCAUUGCAGGUGGUGCCACCAGGAAGGGUGGCUGAUGCUGGUACUGCAAUUAAUCCAAUGCUAUUAGUGAGUCAUGAACAAAUUGGGGUCGUGGGAGAGGUUUUCUGGCCAGGGAAUCAGGAGGUUGUAAGAAAAGGUAGUCAGGUGCUAUCUGUUUGCCAUCGCUACUAAUAUGGCAUGGCGGAUCAAUGGUUAGCACUGCUGCCUCACAGCUCCAGGGACCCAGGUUCAAUUCCAACCUCAGGUGACUGUCUGUGUGGAGUUUGCACAUUCUGUAUAUGUCUGCAUGGGUUUCCUCUGGGUGCUCCAGUUUCCUCCCACAGUCCAAAGAUGUGCAGGUUAGAUGGCUUGGCCAUGCUAAGUUGCUAAGAGUGUCCAGGUAUGUGUGGGUUAGGUGGGUUAUAGUGGAAUGGGUGUGGGUGGAAUGCUGCAAAGGUCAAUGUUGGGUCAAAGGGUCUGAUUGUACACUGUAGGGAUUCUAUAAUUAAGAGUUUUACUUCUCAAACUUUCUGUGUGAUAUUUGUUCAGCCUCAGUUAUUAAUUGCCCACUCAGGGGAGUAAAGACCAUUUACCAGCCUUCCCAAUCGAGACUGCAUCAGGGUAAAACUUGAAAGACAGUCAGGUCCGUACUUACACUCUCCAGCUCAAACCCCGCAUAAAGAGAGGGGUGUUAAAUUCUACCCGUCAUGUACAAAAUCCAGCACCUACGUGAUUGCCUGCAAAAAUGCCAUCCAUCACUGCCCACAACAGAAGAGUGAACCUGGCAGAAACGCAGAAUUGCUACAACGCAGAAGGAAGACAUUCAGCCCAUCAUACUUGCCAAGCUCUCUGAGCACUCUAAUUUAAGGCCAAUCUUCUACCUUUUUCCAAAAACCCUGCAUGUAUUUUUUUUUCUGUUUAAGUAACCAUCCCUCUUGCGUGCCUUCGCCAAAUCUGCCACCACCACAUUUCCGGGCAGUGGAUUCCAGGCCCAGAUCACUCACUGGCUGAAUAAAGUAUUUUUU